AAAGGCCGCCGUGGCCGCAUUCAGGUUCCUCUCUGGUAUAAGUAAAUAAAAAUCUGAGUUAAAUUCCUUCGCAUGAUGAUCGACAUAUCGAGUAAUCAAAAGUAAUCGAUUACUAUCGAUUAUUUUAUCGUUAGACUUAUUUCUGACGAGAGGAUGCGAUGUCAUUAUCGAGAAAUUAUUAAUAAAAGGAGAAAAAAGAAUGUUUUAAUUGUCAAUGAUCAGAAUCUCUUUUUCUUUUUUUUUCUCCCACGUACUUAUAUAUAUAAAUAUUUGCGCGUACAGAAGCUGCCGUCCUGCUCUGACCGUAAAACCUAACCUAUUCGUGACUCCGUUCCAAAUGUAAACAAGCUUACAAUGCGUCCGCAUAAAUUCAAGCUUCCAUGUGAUGUGGACAGUUUUUCGCAGACCGACAAAAAGGUAGUAAUCGUCUCGGUAUUCGGUAAGUCUCAAUAUCGAGCGAAAGGAUGCAAGACGGAUAUGUUAAGUUCCAUACUCCAGCUGAAUCUCCUGGACGAACCGGAGAUGGAUCAGCAGUCCUGGUGUGAAAUUGAAGGAUAUUACAAUCCCAAAGAGAAGACAGUUUAUCUGCACUUAAGAGGAUUCCUGGACGCUCACGCGCUUGUGGCAGAGUAUGACAAGUUUACAGAGAAGCAGGACUGCAAGGACUUCCUCAGCAUUUGGGCACAUAUGAAAGAUAAAUAUGCGAGAGCACUCCUGGUACUGUUUCAUAUAUCUCAUGUGAUGGUGCUUACGCAUCCGACACAUAUCUUUGACUACAGUUAUGUGCAUUUAUUUCGUGCUAUGGACGUAGUCAGGCAAAAGAUUUCUCCACAACUUUCCGACGUGUUAAGCUCCAUUCACAGUCUACCCAAGGAUUGGAUUUCAAAUGCCAGACCCUGUUCACCGCGGGUAUUAUUUUACUUUGAAACCUGUCCCCCAGUGUUCCAAAAUCCAAAUAGUGAGGCCAAUAUCAAAAAGCUCGAACAUUCCCUUGAAGAUCAAAUUUACCAUGUGUUAAGAAAAAAUAGAAUUGUCACGAAUAUCAGCUCGAAUUCCUUGUUUGCAAUACCAGCUAAUCAGGAAUUUGUGUACGUGCAUACUGGAAAUACGGACUCGAGGGAUAUGCUAGGCUACAUGGCAAGAAAGUUAAUACAAAGUUGCAAAACAAGCUCCAGUAGUACAGCAUCGAAAAACCUUACCAGUCUAGAUUUAAACAAUACUGCAAUGGACGACACCGAGACUGAGACUCACUCGUUUAGAUCGUUUUUGCAGCAACAUAUAAAUCUGGCUUUUGCAAGAGGAUUUGAUGACAAUGUCAGUCGACACUCCGUACCAGCCCAUUUUGAGAUACCUACUUUAAACAUAUUUUGCCAAGUAGCAAACAAGGUUUUUGACUACUUUAUUUACGGAACGGACAAGGAACUGUCAGCGCUACACAAUUUGUUAGAUACUGAUGUAAAAUUCAGUAAGAGCCGAUGCAGCAAGGUACUUCCGAGAGCUUUGCAAGCGUAUCAGGAGAACUUGCCACAGCAUUACACGAGAGCAUAUCACGAAUCAAAACUAGCACACGCAAUGACGGUUUUUGAGAUGCAUGCCCGCGGUCCAUUGUUUGAGGAAUUCAGCGAAAAACUACAAGCUGAAUGCGACAAGCAUUGGCGAGCCGGCAGGCAAAUGUGCGAGGUGUUGUCGCUCACUGGCCAUCCUUGCACAAAUCCCGUUCACAGAGGAGGUAGCGAAGGUGCAGGAGGUAGAGAACAAACUGAAUGCCGAGAAGACGACAGCGAACUACCUGUCAGAGAGCAUUGCAGUGGUGUCAGAUACGUAUGCGCUUGCAAUUGCGGAAGAGUCCAAGGCUCCAGGGAAGAUCCCUUCAAUCUUAGACAAGCAAAUCACGACUAUUUUCAAAUGUUAGCGAAACAAUGCGGUUGCGCGCAAUUGGAAGGUAUACAGUUUCCCGUGUUUCAACCUAGCACACAUAAUUACAGAGCAGCGCAGCUAUUUUCAGCGACGAAACGCCACGAUUCCUUCAGUCGCAACGGAUCCUGUACACCUCAAGAUACGCAAGCCUGCAGUUUAGGAGCAGAUACUUUGAAUGAUGAAAAUACAGAUUAUGGUAGCGGUGGUCAAUCGCAGGCAACAAGUGAUCCGAUAGAGGGAGAUAUUCCAAGGCUGAGCAGUAAGACGAGUCUGACGCCAAGCGAUUCGCAUAAAGUUGUUAUAGAAGUCACUGAGAGCGAUGCAGAAAAUUCUAAAGAUAAAUCCUUGGUCAGACAACCAUCUACGACGGAAUAUCUACCUGGAAUGUUGCAUACCGAAUCACCGGCCGGCUUGCUGCCGCAAUUUUCCAGUUGGUCUUUGAUAUGUCUCGGACCGAGUAGUCUUUAUUCUCACAAUUUAGGACUACAACAUCAAAUCGGAGUAUUUCCUACGUCCGCGUUUUUGUUACCGUGGGACGUAACUGUCAGAUUGGAACAUCAAAAGGAACGAAAUCCACUGUGGCCAUUGGUGGGCGAUCACGGAAGUUACUGUCCACGAGGGGGCAAAAAUUUUCAAAAUAUGAAUGCUAUACGUGGCCGUAAGUCGAAGGGCGGCAAGGAGUUUGUGGUGAAAAUAUUCGUCGGAGUAGAGUACGAAUGUCCGCGCGGACACCGAUUCAUGGCAUCCGCACCCGAUAAGGUGCUGAAGGCGACCGGAAAUGGUAUUGUAAAGGACAGCGGGAAUAAGGUGACGUCUAGCACGGCCGACAUGCCGCUCUACUUCCCUUGCCCCUGCAGACAAACUAAACCGUUGAUUGCCCAGCUGAUGAGAAUCCAUGUUGUGACACCCAAAGCGCCCGUGCACGUCACGUUAAAUCCGCGAGUUCAACCUGGUCCUCCACCUUGCCCGAUAUUUGUCACCGGAUGCGAGGAACCGAUCAAACUUUCCCAGAGCGCAUAUUGGAUUUUAAGACUACCGUACGUAUAUAUGGGCGAGAAAGGACCAUAUUUACCGCCGAAAGAACUGGUGCCUCCGUCGCAUGGACGUUUGUUAGCCGGCAUGUACGGCAUCAGCGAGGUCGUGCCGGAAAAGAAGUAAAAAGGAACUGAAGGAGAGGACUGUGAUAUAUGUGAAAUUUCCGAAGAUAUAUGUGAUAAACGAUUGGUCGUUUUCAAAAGUUUGGUGGAUUACGUGGUCUCUGUGAUCGUGCUCGUGAUUGGCCCGCACCAGUGUUCCUCGUCUCGCAGAAGUGCGCAACGGUAUCUCUCGUCGCGUACCUCGAAGACUCCGACCUCCAUUCCCAACGAGGAACGGACUCUUGGACGAAGUGUAUUUCUCGUGGAGGUUGCCUGGACGUGAGAAACCAGGAUGAGAGUGUCGGGC